rnacentral:rRNA from 1 species
UGGCGGACGGGUGAGUAACACGUUGGUACCUGCCCCAAAGUGGGGAAUAACUGGCCGAAAGGUCAGCUAAUACCGCAUGUGAUCCUUACGGAUUAAAGCAGCAAUGCGCUUUGGGAGGGGCCUGCGUCUGAUUAGCUAGUUGGUAGGGUAACGGCCUACCAAGGCGACGAUCAGUAGCUGGUUCGAGAGGAUGACCAGCCACACUGGGACUGAGAUACGGCCCAG